GCUAUUUUUCAGCUAUAUAUUUAUAUAUAUAUACUGUAUAUAUAGCUGAAAAAUACAGGAACGUGCAACAAUAUGUAUAUAUAUAAAUGUUAAUCUCUGGGAACUUUUCUAUUAUCCAUUCUUCAAAAUGGGAAAGAAAAUAGAUCAUGCCACUGGCUAAUCUGGCCUUUGACAUAGAAGGAGAGGAUGCUCAUAAAACAUAAAACCCAAUAAUCAGUCAAUUUGGCUCUCUUUCUGUUAAGUACUUGGCUCUGGAACCACAGGUGUCAAAUCCCAAUCCCCAAAGAUCUGAUUCAGACGUGAUGAGCCUGGGACAUAUUUCAACUGACCUGCAAGGACUGAAAUUUGACACCCAGAUCCUAAACUAAGAGAAUGAAACAAAGGAUUGGCUGCACUUUUAGCAUGUCUAAUUAAUAUUUGCAAAAUUUUUUAACCAGGAGUUUGCUACCAUUUUCCAGUUUAUAAAUUUAUUUAUCAAUGCUAUCACGUUUUUUAAAGAGUUUUCAGCUGAAAACUUGUCAUAUAGUUGUUGAUCAACGUAAGGGUUAUUAUAAUUGGCGCCUGUGAAACUAAUAAACGCAUUAAUCUAGUUGUA